CUGGUGUGGACCUUCUGAAGCUGUGCGACGGUGAAGAUCAUAACAGUAUGGUACAUAAACGUGUGUCCUACGGCAAGAGCACAGAGGUCAAAGUCCUGGGUGUCAGUCAAGCUCAGCAGCAGAGCUGAGAAAAAAUGGAAAGGGUCCUUCAGUCCAUGAACAUUGUGAAGAACAAGCAAGGGCUUGAGCUGUAAGCUGUGAGAUCUUUGACUCCACUCAUUCCUGUUCGUCUUGCAAGCUUUUGUUGUAAGAAUCAAUGAACGUUAAGAAAUCCACACAAUGGAGAUGAUAGCAAGCACAAGUAAAAUCUAGUCAUAAACUUCCAGGAAAAGAAAAAGAAAUAAAGAUGGG
rnacentral:lncRNA from 1 species